rnacentral:lncRNA from 1 species
AAAAUCAAUGGUUCAUUCAUUAAUUAUUGAUGUUUAAAUCUGUUAUAAAAAUUACUAGGAUUUGAUUAGGAUUUGAUUUACGGUUUAGGAUUUGAUUAGGGUUUGAUUUAGGAUUAGGAUUUGAUUAGGAUUUAGCUUAGGAUUUAAGAUUUACUUAGGAUUUGGUUUAGGAUUUAGGGUUUGGUUAGGAUUUGAUUUAGGAUUAGGAUUUGAUUAGGAUUUGGUUUAGAGUUUAAGAUUUGGAUAGGAUUUGAUUUAGGAUUUAAGAUUUGAUUAAGAUUUGAUUUAGGAUUUGUUUAGGAUUUAAGAUUUAAUUAGUUUUUGGCCUAAAGUUUGAAUGAAGUUCAAUAGGAUUUUAACUAAGAUUAAAUUAAGAUUGAAUUAAGAUGUAUUUGAGAUAUAUUUGUGAUCAUUUUAAUAUUUCUUUAAGAUUUUUUACUAUUUCUUUGUAAUUCCUUUGAGGUUUCUUUGGAUUUGAUUAAAGCUUGCUUAGCAUUUUUAUGGUCUAAUUAGAAUUUAAUUAGUAUUCUAUUAGAGUUAAGAUUUUAUUGUUGCAAUUUCCAUUCUACCUUCUACAACCAAGUGCUCGAAGCAUUCUCAAGCAAGACUUCACGUAUUAUGACAAUGGUUCCUAUUAUAGGUGGACAAACUUGUUUUCUUUUUUAAUAUAUUAUCUUCUUUGAUAUUUGUACUCUUCAUUUUAUA